rnacentral:rRNA from 1 species
CGCCAUGCUGAACCUGGUUGUGCUAACCAUCUGAUCGGAUGUGUCUUUUCGGAGAUGUGUCUGGGAGGGUGGGAUCCCGGCUGGUAGUAGGCAAGCGAU